CUACAAGUGCCUUGGCGUUGAGAAGAGGUGUAAUUGCAGAAGAAAUGAAAAAUUAUAUCAUCAAUUGUAGAUAAUUUGAAGGAGCACAGCUGCCAUGUGAUUUCCUAUUGUCCAGUGCUGUCCAAAGCUCCAUGAGGUCAGCGAGCAUGUCCUUGAGUUGAAGAGCCAGAACAGAGCCAAGCUGGUACAAACAGAGCCAAGGUGGUACAAUCACCAGAGCACUGUUUGGGAGCCUCCAGCUUUGAUAUGUGACUGACUGGUCUGGUGUUACUUCCCCCCCUCCUCCCAUUUUGGGGGCACACUUCCCAAAACCUCUCAAAAUUGGGGGAUUCUUCCUCAGUUUUAUAAGGAAUUCAGAAUUUAAGGAUAAGAAGCUUUCAGAAUUGCUACUUUAGAAAGUUCUUUUGACUCGCUGAACUGUUAUGUUCUUAUGGUUUUGGUUUUUGGGGGUUUUUUUUGCUGUCAUUUGAGCUUAACAAGAGAAAAAGCUGCAGGACUCAAUGACUUAAUUGAAUUAUAUUCUAUUAGGAUAAAGAGGUAGCUACCACAAAUAUGUGCCUACUAGAUAAGAAUCAGGAGUUUGUUUUUUAAAGAAAUACUCUUUUAGAUCAUCCUGCCAACCUUUAAAACUGUGCAAACAUCCAGUGUAGCAUGUGUGCAUGAAACAUCCUUAAUGGAGUAAUAAUCUCUAGUUAAUAAUUAAAUCUGAGUGCUUUUGUAAUUUGUGGAUGCUACAGCAUUUAAUCUCUUUAAGUGAGACUUCUUAAAGAGGAGUAUUCAGCAUUUGAAUUUCAUGAAGGGAAUCUUAGCCUUAUGUAAAGACCAAUUUAAUAUACCAGAGGUUUAACUUGUUGUCAGUGUGAAGAAGGAUUGAUAUCUCAGACUAAACUUGAUGCUGGAUUUGCAGGCACGGGUAGAAUUUUUGGGCUGUUGACUGACAAACUCUUGCUCAGAGAUACAUUGGUGAGAGUCACAAGUGCUGAAGUGUAUCAGUUUUCAGCUAAUGCAGCACUUGUCACACUAAUGUAUGCAUCAAAUUAAUGGAAAUGUAGUUAUACAAUGUUGAUGUGCUAAAGUAAAUAGCAGGCCUCCAUUAUAAAAGUUGAUGAACUUGUAAAUUAGUCUGUGGGAACGGGAUACCUCCCCUCCUCUGCAGCCUUUUUAAAGUUUAUCCUUUAAUCAUUUUGCCUUCUCUGUAAAGAAAAAUCACUGAAUCCUGUCCCAAUGUCCAUAUCCCAGGUCUGAUAACUAAUGAAAAAAUUUGAAAAAUGUUUUAAAAGCUAAAUGGAGUGCUGUCAUCUAGUUCUUUCAUAUAUGCAGUCAGGUGCUGCAGACUGAUGUCUUUCCCAAAUUAUUAUCCCACCUGUUUGAAAUGGAAAGCCUUUAUAAAGAGGAUUGUGCAGACUGAUACCAUUGAUUUGGGAUGGCCUCUCUGAAACACUGGGGUUUGAUUUUUCAAAUAGGCUGUUAGUGGGAGGUCCACGUCCUGUUUCAGAGGCAGAGCCAACAUUGCAGUGCUUGGCUUUUUCUGUAUUGUUCUGUCAGAAACAACCAACCAACCAAAACCACCAAAAAACAACCAACCAAAACAAAACAGAACCCUCAAUAAAAACUCCCAAAGUUAAAGUUUGCAGCCCUUGGCAAGCUGUUGACAAAUUAUCAAAAUGGCAAAGCACUUCUGUGUUUGCCAGCAGUAGCAAUGUAGCCAGUGCUGAUGCAGGGUUCUUUUAGAGCUCGUGUGCACUGUCAGCACUUUAAGAAAAACCAGCUCAAGGCCUCUCCCCUUUUCAAUCUUUGGCAAGUCCACAUCUACUGACAGAAACAGAGAUGUGUGAAAGUUCAGGAUAUCACAGUCCAGCAGUUCAUUGCACUGCUGGUUACUUUGCUGUUUGAGCAAGUAACUUUUCCCCAGUUGCACAGCAAAAUUUGAAGCAUUUCUCUGAAAAUCUGCAACCAACUGCACAUCCAGUCCUUUCAAUAAGGGAAAGGGAAAAAAAAAAUCAGUAAAUUUGGCCCUUAUAUGGAUGGAAGGAAAAGGAAGGGAGAAUUAUUAGGCAGAACAAAUAAAAUUAGUAAAAGGUAAAGAAGAGAAAAUUAUAUAGUUCUGUGUCUUUAAAUGUGCUUUUUACUAGGUAUUAAUUUCUUUGAUCGUAGCUCCCUGAGGAUGAGACAGACCAGUAAAAGGCUAAAGGGCAAAUUAAGAUACUUAAAAAAAGAACACUGAUUAUUUUCAAUUAUUCUGUACCUGUUAGGAGGCUUUUAUAUUUUAACAUUUUAGAUUGUUUCUUGAAUGUGUUAAGCACUCAAGGAAUCAAGGUAUUAAUUUAAAGAUAAGGAAUUAUUAACUGAUUUUUCUAUGAUCUGUACCUUAAGACUCCCCAGAGAUUAUAGAUUUCCAUGUCUAAAGAAGUGUAUGCAGAAUUUUAGGAAAUAAAAAAAUCCAUUUCUAAGAGUUGAGAAUGCUGUGGGAAAUUAAAAUGUUAAGUGGAAGAUUUACUAUGGAAAAGGUAUUCUUUUGCUUUAGAAGGACGGUUGUAGCAGGUCUUGUAGGUGUAGUAGGUAGGUAAGCAGCCCUCUGAAGUAAAACUUCGUGAGAUUAAGGAAAAAACUCAUUUAUGUUCAGUGCUAAACAUUGUGUUCUGCUGUUCCUAAGCAGUGUUUUCUGCCAUAAUCUUUAUAAACAUAGAAGUGCUUUUCUCUCCUCUGACAUGGUAUUUCAUGCCAAGAUCUUUUUAAUAGAAACCAGUAGGGGAUUAUUUUAAUUAAUUGUAAAUUGGCAGCCAAGCUUCAUUAACGUUUUUGUUAAAGAUUGUCUUAUUACUUUGGUUUCAAGAUACUGAGUGUUCAGAUAUUAGCUUAGGAAGUUAGUUUUCUUUUCCAUGAUAGCGUUAAUCUUAUGUGUGAAUUCCCAGAAGAGUUUGGAACUGAAAUUAGUUGUAAAGAGAAGUAAAAAUACUGCAGAGAGUUUUACAGGACCAUGGAUUCCUUUAUUAACACUGAAUUCUUUUACCAGCUUGACUUACGAUUUUCAGCAUUGUGUACUUAUAACUACAGAGCAGUUUCUGGCAUUAGCAGCCUAAACAAAGCACAGUUCCAGGGUGUUUGACCUCUUGAUGCACUUGUCAAAACCUUCCUGGUGUAACUGGGAGUGAAACAUGCAGCAGCAGGCCAACUUCCACUUUGUGUGGUGAGAGUUUGGAAGCAGAUGUGGGCUGGUAUCACGUAGGGUUUGUGACAUCCAAGCAGAUCUCACGUGGAGUUUGCUGGCUUAGCCUCAUGGCCAGACUGUGACUGGUCCAUCCAAAAUGUGUGCAGUAGCUUGGAAACGUGCAGACUGGUGGAGUGCAUGCAUCCUUUCUGGAAUAUGGGCUUGGGUGUUAUCUAACCCCCUCCUCCAAGUCUGGGGGGUGGGGAAGGAAUCUUCUGUGCACAGCAACACAGCAAAGGCUUUCCUAUGGGAGAGCAGGAAGAAAGGAGUGUUGCCUUGAGUGCAGCCGUGGUGUGGCAAUGUCAGUCACCAACAUGGUUCAGUUACUUUGGAGGUUCAAAAAAAGCUCACAGUCACAUAGCCAGUGCAUUUCAAAACAUUGAAUUAACACUUACUGCACAUGAGGAAUUGCUGUUGGAGAGUGGCCCUAGGAGUGCAAAGGCAGCACUAAAUAAGACUAUGUAAUGUGCAAAAGUAACAGAGUAGCUUAAAUUCAGUGUGCUCUCAGUAUUCAGGAGCUCUCAGCAUGGACAGUCGAGGUAUUUAUAGCUGCCCUUGGGUCCUGGGGAGUUAAAUAGUUCAGGUUUGCGUGAGGGGUUCCCACUGACCCUUCAGAUUAAAUCUGGUGACGUUUAAUAUUACAAGCAAGUGCUAAUUAUACUGCUUACAGCUCUUUGGGCAAGCAGGAAGUGGUUUCCCAUCCUCAGCAUGCCCUAGCACAUAGAGAACAUUCCAUCCUCCCAGAUUUAAGUUCCUAGGUGGCCUUCCCCUGGAUGAAAUAUGUUUUCUUUACCUUGUCUUUGUAAGGUGUCAUGAUUAUCAGUGUAAAGAGGUAGCUCACAGCUGCCUGGGCCCCACCCCAUCUCCUCACUGAGGGGAGGGAAGAAAGGGCAGCAGUUGGCAUUUUUUAAAUGUCUCAAGGCUCAUGGUGUGGAGUACCAGGGCAGUACCUGCAGCAGGAUCUGUGCCCUGGGCUGCCCCAUGGUGUGGUCUGCCCUUGGCCUCUCUGUACUGCCCAGCAGUGGAGACCUGCCAGCCUUCUCUACUGGGCAGGGGUGGAAAGCAGGAGGGGGCUGUCACCCAUCUUCCCAUUCCUCCAUGAGUGGAGUGCCUGACACCACUCUCUCUGCUUUGCUCUGUGCUUUCACUAAUAAAUUUCUUCCACUGACGAUGGGAGGAACUCUGUAUUUUGAGGAGUACUGGGGCAGACCUGGUUAGUUUAUAACUGGUUUAGGAUCGCUGAGGGGAACGGGAGUUGCUCUUCAUCUGCAGUCAUUCCUUGUGCCAGGGCUCUCUCCCAUCAAUCCCAGGAGAACCAUGUGUCUGCAGUGCUGUAGCUCCCUGCUCCUGGUGUGUGCCCCCACGUUGGCAGGGGCUCAGAGUGGCCUGUGGUGAGACCUUUCUAAAGCAGCUUUUAGGCUGUUUGUGCAGAGCUGGUGGGAGGCUUGGUCUAAAACCUGCUGUGGCCCCGUAGCUCUCCGAGCUCAACCUUGUCCUUGUUUUGCAACAGGCUGUCUCCUGAUCAUAUGCAGCCUUCCCAGGCUUUAAGGGCUACUCUGCUAUGGGGCUUGCUGAGCUCUUUCUUACAUUAAUUAAUGUAGCUUUACCUUUGGCAGCAGCAAAGGGAGCUGCCAGAGGUCUUACAUAGCGUUUAAAAUGUCAGCUGCUGGUCUAGAGCAGCUGCCAGCACUGGAGCUCUGGCAGCGGGAAUGCUGUCACAGGACAAAUGCAGGGAAUGUCAGUGUGGACACAGCGUGAGUCAGGCAGGGCAGGGACUUGUGUACAGAGUAUCCUGACGUUGGUAAAAUGCCCUUUGAAAUCUCCCAGCAAGUUGGCUCCUGUCUUGCUUGGGUCAUAUUUAAGGAAAUGCUGCUGGCUUCUGACUGUUGGUGGUUUGUAUUCAGACCUGACUGUAAGUAGUUGUCAGUGUGUGGGGUCUGCACAGAUAAAGCAAUCCUGUAGGACUGGGAGUCUCUCUUCUGGGUGAAAGAGUAAGGCAAAGCACUGGUGGUGAGAGUCUUGAGAAAGAAUGUAGUUUCUAAAAUCAGUAAUUUUGGUCACAUGUAUAUCUCACUUUUAAUUUUUUUUUUACUGGAUUUUUUCUUUUAAAUGUUUGGAACUUAUCUGUUGAUUGAACUGAAUUAAUAUGGGAAAAAUAAUAAAAAAACUGUAACUACUGUCCUUGUUUGUCAUCAUUGCCUUUGUGACGUGUCUGGAGAGCAGUUGUGUUUCCUCAAUAUUUUUACUAGAAGGCUUGGCUGAAGACAUUUGUGCUAAUUUGAAUCUUCUAUUUGCUGUCAGUGUGGGAAGUAAAUUUCUUUUUAUACUGUUACUUUUUUGCAAUGGGUUGUGCUGUUAUAAAUUAGAUGAAAAGCCAUUUGCCUCUCACCUGUGAUUUAAACCAGGCUUGUGAAUUGGGCCUGUUGGAUGUAAGCAGGUCUACCAGAGGUGUCCACAUGGGUAGAGAUGAAUUCGAGAUCAUUUCAACUGAAUCCAAAUCCUUUCAUGAGACUUUAACUCUUCAGCAGGGGGUUCUUUUACAUGCUGGUGUUAAAGAAGGGUUCAUUGGGGUUUUUUGUUUGGCUGGUUAGUAAUGUGGGCUGCAUCCAUGGAAUGCAGGGGGGUGUGAAUCAGAAGGGUCUCACUGCCAGGCUCAUAGAUGUAAUGAUAGGCUGGGUACUGCAAUACUCACCACAGUGUUUUACAUAUAGAUUUAAUCUGUGCCCUUCCUUGUGCUGGAAAUGUGUGCCUUUCAUGCCCUGUGCCUUUGCAUAUACGCUGGGUCUGUGUUCCUUGUGGUAACAAAGGAUUUACAUUAAGCAGCCCAAGACAAUUUUAAAUACUAACAGGCAUAUAGAGCUGUGCUUUUAAUACCACCAGUAAUGGAAAUACUUACUGAAAACCAAAUUUUAGACUUGUUGAUGGGAAUGCUGUAGAGUCAGCCAAAAAUAUCCAGAAACUUUUUGAUGUUCUAGGUUUGCUUCCACAUACAAGAAAACUUGCAUAUACAAUAAAGCCCCCAUCCUGCUCUGCAUCCCAGAUCUGGGUUAUAUGGUAGGUUUCUUUUUUUAAGUCUAGGAGGGUUUCUGAAAUGGGGAAAGUGAAAGGCCCAGAUCAUCAGGGGGUUAUUGUCAAUACUGCCCAAGGAGUUAUAAAUGAAGAUCAUCAACUUGGUCAUAUUUGUCUUUUAGAUUUUUUUGUCUGUUCUGACCUCUGAAUUUGAGGAAAAAUAAAAGCCUGACUAUAUCAUACUCUUCUAAAUGCAAAUUUUUUUGCUAAUACCUUGAUCAUUCUUUAGUCUGUUCUACCUUAUGGCUACCCCUUCAGAGACAGGCUGAAAUUAUAGUGGCCUGUCUUUUGUUAAUCUGCUUUUUGUAUUCCCAUGUAAUUUAUUUUCAUGUCUUUGAAUUUAUUCAGGAUGGCACUAAUGUGAUAUAUGUGUUUCAGGCAUGAAGAGGUUAAUGAAGCUUUAACUGUCUCAUAAUACCAGUCAUGUUCUUGGCAGCCUUGGGGAUGGGAGUUAUUGCCUGCAGUCAUGUACAAGAACUAUUAUCCUCUUUGAUUGCCAUAUUUCUGUACAGCCAAACUAGAUUUAACAGGAUCUUUAGGGGGAUCCUUUUAUAUGUUCCUCAGCAGAAAUAGCAAUUUUAUAGUGCCUCUUCUGAAAAUUGAAAGGGCAGCUUUUAGUAAACAGGUAAUGAGACCAAGAAUUCCUAUGUAAAAUUAGUAAAAAUUACGUUCAUGAAAAGGUGUUUUGAAGAUGUUUUUGUGAUUUAAUUUUUGGAAAUAAAUCCAUGGUAUAAGACACAAUUCUCAGAGCCUCACUACUAGUUUGAUUCUGGCCCUACUUAAACCAUAGCUUUACCUUAGGAUGAAGUAACUAGCUAUGUUUUUUUCUUUGUAGUUGAGGAAGGGGAAAUACUGAAUAUAGUAAGAAUUAAAGUGGACAUGCAAUUUUUUUAAAAGCUCCAAUGGAAGUGAUUAUUUAUGGAAAUUUCAGAGUAAUUACUGGCUACUAGUGCUGCGCUGGCUAUUUAAAAUCCAUCAUGUGACUGAGAAUGAUGCCACUCAGUGCACUUGGAUUGCUUAAUGACUUUUUUCUGGGCAAUGUUGUGUUGUAAAACAGUAAUUAGGUAAGAUGUUGUUUCAACUACAGAGUUAGUUUGGUACUAAUAUGCAGUAUGAAGAAAUCAUGUUAAAACCGUAAUACCUGGGGGGCAUUCACAGGCAGGACUAAAGAGCCAGAUACAAAGUAAAAAAGCAAGGCACUUUCUUCUCAGUACUCACUUCAUCUCUAUAAAAAGUCUGGAGGUCUUGUUGAAGUACUCAAGCUGCUUUACUUUUCACUGUCUGAAGACCUCGUUAUUCAGAUAAUAAGAUAAUGGUUUUUUUAAGCAGUGAUAUUUGUUGUGUAUGGCAUUGACAAUUGUGGACAUUAUCAAGGAAAAUAUCUCUUAAAACCUUAGUUUAGAGGCUGCUGUCUCCACUUUAAUAUAUAUUCUAGGUUAUUGGAAGAACUGAACUGGGACACAUGGACAGCAGCGUGUGAGAGCUUCAAAAAGGAUGUUUUGUGUCACUUGGACUUGGAGAAGUGCUGAAUUUGAGACAGAUCCAUGGAAGGAUGUACUGUGCCCCCUUCACCUGGUCACUCCUUGGCAGUGUGGAAAAAAAUGAGUUCUGACUGAAAUGUUUGUAUGGCCCAGAUCUGUUUGUUAGAAAACACUGUGGAAAACCUAGAGGCACCAAAAGGGGGCCUUCAAUACAGAAACUAACUGCAAACCUCUGGAAACACUGAAGCUCAAAACAAUGAAAAUCUCUGCAGUUAUGGCAAAGCAGAGUAUCAAAGGACAGCAAAGUCACCCUGACAGGAUGAAGUCAGACAUCUGGCACUGACUGGGUGUCCCCUGCAAGGCUGUGCUCCGUUCCAGUCGUUCUCCCGUGUAACUGGCUGUAAAAAGGACAUGAUGUUUUUUUCCAUCACGCACCUUGUCUCCUGGCAUUGAAUGCUAUAGCUGAGAUGUGCAGCUGGAAGAGGAAUUCGCUUAUUGCCAAAGGAAACUCCAAAGCAGAAAAGGGCUGAGCUAGGUGAUUCAUAGGGGACUUGUUUUGGUUUUGCUUGUCUUCCCCAAAGGGCUGCCAGCAUCAUGUGAGGGUACAGGGCUGUACCUUGUGCUAUACCCUGUCCUGGGGGCCAUCGGGCAAAGCAUCACCAGAUGGCUGAGGGAGGGGAUUGUCCCACUCUGCUCUGCAGUGGUGAGACCUCACCUUGAACAU